rnacentral:piRNA from 1 species
UUAUUGUGGUCAAAUUUGUGCUACCAAUAA